UAACUAGGGGAGUCCCAGGCUGGUUAGUAUUACUCAUUCGGGUUACUCACUGGCCAGUUGUCUUUUCAGAUAGAUUAUAUUAGUUGUAACUAUUUUAUACAGAAAUAUGCAUUUUAAAUAUAGAGAAACAACAAAUAAGCGAAGCCCAGAAGGAAAUUGUUUGAAAUGAAUGAAUUCUCUUUUUCUGUUUUUUUGUAUUCGUAUUCUUUUUGUAUUUGUUUUCUCUUCUUCUUUUCUCUAGUUUAUGAAAGACUCUCUGAGCACAACGCCACCCUGUGGUCAGACAGUAUACUAACUGGUUGUAUCAGCAUGCUAACCUAACAAACAUUUGUGGAAGAGUUACUUUACUUUAUGACUGCAGUGUUCUUUGGUCAACAAACAAAUUGAGCUUCGCUGCUUAACUGUGUAGUGAACCCACAGUGAUUGGUGUGCCUGCCUUGCAAGCAGAGAGUCCUGGAUUCAAUUCCCAGAUGAACCACCUUAUCCCUAAUGGCGCCACCUCUGCUCCUCUACUUUGUAAAUGGAGAGUCGACCCACGCCUCCGCACGGAGACCCUCUCUCAACCCGACAUGCCAGACUACAGUCCUCCUCCGGAGCCCGUGGGCUACUGAUGCGGUUCCCGCAGUGGCAUUCAGCUCC